AGUGAACGCUGGCGGUAGGCCUAACACAUGCAAGUCGAACGGCAGCACAGUAAGAGCUUGCUCUUACGGGUGGCGAGUGGCGGACGGGUGAGGAAUACAUCGGAAUCUACUUUUUCGUGGGGAUAACGUAGGGAAACUUACGCUAAUACCGCAUACGACCUACGGGUGAAAGCAGGGGAUCUUCGGACCUUGCGCGAUUGAAUGAGCCGAUGUCGGGUUAGCUAGUUGGCGGGGUAAAGGCCCACCAAGGCGACGAUCCGUAGCUGGUCUGAGAGGAUGAUCAGCCACACUGGAACUGAGACACGGUCCAGACUCCUACGGGAGGCAGCAGUGGGGAAUAUUGGACAAUGGGCGCAAGCCUGAUCCAGCCAUACCGCGUGGGUGAAGAAGGCCUUCGGGUUGUAAAGCCCUUUUGUUGGGAAAGAAAAGCAGCAGGUUAAUACCCCGCUGUUCUGACGGUACCCAAAGAAUAAGCACCGGCUAACUUCGUG
rnacentral:rRNA from 1 species